GACAUUCUGAGGCAGAGGGACCUGACCAAGGCCAGGGAGGGGUCAGAGAGCUGGGUUGUCAUUUGCAUGGAUGGGCCCUCCCUCUCUGAGAGGACUAAGAGGGGAAGGGGGAGAUUAGAGGAGGCUCUGCUCACUUGUGCAGCACAGAAGUUAGGACCCGGGAUGACCUCCACCAUGGCCUGGUCCCUCGUCCUUCUCACCCUCCUUUCUCACUGCACAGGGUCCUGGGCCCAGGCUGUGCUGACUCAGCCGCCCUCUGUGUCUGGGGCCCUGGGCCAGACGGUCACCAUCUCCUGCACUGGAAGCAGCUCCAACAUCGGGGGUGGAUAUUAUGUGAGCUGGCACCAACAGCUCCCAGGAACCGCCCCCAGAACUGUCAUCUAUAGUAAUAACAACCGACCGUCGGGGAUCCCAGAUCGAUUCUCUGGCUCCAAGUCUGGCAGCUCAGCCACCCUGACCAUCACUGGGCUCCAAGCUGAGGAUGAGGUGGAUUAUUACUGUCAGUCCUAUGAUAGCAGUCCCAGUGCUCACACCGUGCUCCAGGCCUGUGGGGAAGUGAGACAAAAACCUGCUGUCCCCCCAGCAACUGGGCUCCCCUUGCAGUUUCACCUCCUGUCCAAAUCAUCCUUUUGUUGUUCUAAAUUGUAGUGUGAGACCAAUCUCAGUGAACAUUGACUACAAAAACAUCCACCUUCUCUUAAGUUCAGACCCCAAAGCCUGUCCUUUGCAGGAAUGCAUUUUAGGAUUUUCUCAUAUUAAGGAGAAAGUCCUGGGUCCCAGGGGCAGGCUGCCCUGGGGACAGAGUCUAUGGCAGGAUAGAAAGAGAGGCACAGAGUCCAGCCGUGUCUGACUGAGGAUAGAACAUUGUCAGAUAAUAUGCACCCAGACCACCUACUGAACACCUAGUAUGUGCCACAUUUGAGUCUAGGGAUGUGGGGCACAGAUGGACAUGAUAGGAAGGCUCCCCACACUUGGGAAGCUGACAGUGUCUGGGGGAUGAUGGAAGACACAGAAUGUAAACAUGCUGUAAAGGAAAGCUGCAUCCCAGGAGCAUGAGAAGGGGUGAGGUUGUUGGGGUGGUGCUGCAGAACUGGAGGGUUUAACAGCUUAGGAGGGGUUAACAGGGAAACCCAGUUCCCUCCCUCCUCUGAAACUUCCCAAAGUUACCCAUGUCAAAAGUUGGGAUGGUAGAUGGUUGAGUUUUUUUGAACCUCCCUGGACAAUAGGCUGAUUUAGUUAAACUCAUUUCAGGAAGGGGUGAUGCAGGUGUGUUCUCAAAGUAAGGCCUGUGGUUCCAGAAAUCAGGUAUUGAACAAGAGGCAUUCUUAUGGAAACAAAUAAAAAUAAUGGUUAAUGAUUGGAUCAAAUUACAAUGCACUUUCUGAGUUCUGAGAGUAGCCAGUGGAGAAGACUUCUAGAUGUCAUGUUGAAAUCAUCUUCAGAUAGAGGGAUGCCAAGCUGUGAAAACAUGACAGAUUUUCCUGCUCUGAUGUUCAAAUGUGUCUGGUGAUCUCUGAGUGGCCCACAGAGCAACAGGCAUGAGACUGUCUCUAUGUGAGCUGCUGUGGUAAUUGUUCUUAACUAAGUCAUAUUUGUUUGUUUGUUUAUUUUUAUCAUGAUAUGUUAGUCACCAUACUGUACAUCAAUAGCUUUUGAUAUAGUGUCCCUUGAUUCAUUGUUGUUUGUAUUUACUUUUCAGGACUUCAGGAUAGAGGGCAGUUUGAGUCCAACUCAGAAAGGUGGGAGAAAAAUUAAGACGCUAGUUUGGAGAUUUGUAGCUGGACCUUUUAGGAAGCUAGAGAAAAUUAGGAUCUAGUCCAGGUUAUAACUAACAGGAUUGAAAACAAAUAUUUACUCAGGUGUGUUACGAAAACAUAAUGUGUUUUGUGUAUUUUUUUCUCUCUACACUCAUCCUCAUUUCUAGGAAAUAUAGCCAAAUUAACAUUAAUUUGUUUGCAAAAUAAAUCUAGUUUCAAAAAGAACUUGUUCUGAUUAUUUACAUACGUGCAACAGAAUAGUAUUUGACCACAUAGGCUUUUUAAAACAUGCUUU